rnacentral:rRNA from 1 species
UACGUAGGGCGCAAGCGUUGUCCGGAUUUAUUGGGCGUAAAGAGCCGCUGAUGAGCGGCUUGUCGCGUCGACUGUGAAAUCCCGCGGCUCAACUGCGGGUCUGCAGUCGAUACGGGCAGGCUAGAGUUCGGUAGGGGAGACUGGAAUUCCUGGUGUAGCGGUGAAAUGCGCAGAUAUCAGGAGGAACACCGGUGGCGAAGGCGGGUCUCUGGGCCGAUACUGACGCUGAGGAGCGAAAGCGUGGGGAGCGAACAGG